rnacentral:rRNA from 1 species
CGGGUUGCAGCAGUGGGGAAUUUUGGACAAUGGACGCAAGUCUGAUCCAGCCAUUCCGCGUGCAGGAUGAAGGCCCUCGGGUUGUAAACUGCUUUUGUACAGAACGAAAAGGUCUCUCUUAAUACGGGGGGCUCAUGACGGUACUGUAAGAAUAAGCACCGGCUAACUACGUGCCAGCAGCCGCGGUAAUACGUAGGGUGCAAGCGUUAAUCGGAAUUACUGGGCGUAAAGCGUGCGCAGGCGGUUAUAUAAGACAGAUGUGAAAUCCCCGGGCUCAACCUGGGAACUGCAUUUGUGACUGUAUAGCUAGAGUACGGUAGAGGGGGAUGGAAUUCCGCGUGUAGCAGUGAAAUGCGUAGAUAUGCGGAGGAACACCGAUGGCGAAGGCAAUCCCCUGGACCUGUACUGACGCUCAUGCACGAAAGCGUGGGGAGCAAACAGGAUUAGAUACCCCCGU